rnacentral:rRNA from 1 species
UACGAAGGGGGGCUAGCGUUGCUCGGAAUGACUGGGCGUAAAGGGCGCGUAGGCGGUUUGUACAGUCAGGUGUGAAAUUCCCGGGCUCAACCUGGGGGCGGCACUGAGACGUAGGAACUGGAGUGAGGAAGAGGGUCGUGGAAUUCCCAGUGUAGAGGUGAAAUCGUAGAUAUUGGGAAGAACACAGUGGCGAAGGCGGCGACCUGGUCCUUU